CCUGAUGCAGCAACGCCGCGUGAGGGACGACGGCCUUCGGGUUGUAAACCUCUUUUAGCAGGGAAGAAGCGAAAGUGACGGUACCUGCAGAAAAAGCACCGGCUAACUACGUGCCAGCAGCCGCGGUAAUACGUAGGGUGCAAGCGUUAUCCGGAAUUAUUGGGCGUAAAGAGCUCGUAGGCGGUUUGUCGCGUCUGCUGUGAAACCCCGAGGCUCAACCUCGGGCCUGCAGUGGGUACGGGCAGACUAGAGUGCGGUAGGGGAGAUUGGAAUUCCUGGUGUAGCGGUGGAAUGCGCAGAUAUCAGGAGGAACACCGAUGGCGAAGGCAGAUCUCUGGGCCGUAACUGACGCUGAGGAGCGAAAGGGUGGGGAGCAAACAGGCUUAGAUACCCUGGUAGUCCACCCCGUAAACGUUGGGAACUAGUUGUGGGGUCCAUUCCACGGAUUCCGUGACGCAGCUAACGCAUUAAGUUCCCCGCCUGGGGAGUACGGCCGCAAGGCUAAAACUCAAAGGAAUUGACGGGGACCCGCACAAGCGGCGGAGCAUGCGGAUUAAUUCGAUGCAACGCGAAGAACCUUACCAAGGCUUGACAUAUACGAGAACGCUGCAGAAAUGUAGAACUCUUUGGACACUC
rnacentral:rRNA from 1 species